rnacentral:piRNA from 1 species
UCCCACAUAAUUUGCCCCUGUGUGAGGGCAGC